rnacentral:rRNA from 1 species
UACGAAGGGGGCUAGCGUUGCUCGGAAUCACUGGGCGUAAAGCGCACGUAGGCGGCUUUUUAAGUCAGAGGUGAAAUCCUGGAGCUCAACUCCAGAACUGCCUUUGAUACUGGAGAGCUUGAGUCCGGGAGAGGUGAGUGGAACUGCGAGUGUAGAGGUGAAAUUCGUAGAUAUUCGCAAGAACACCAGUGGCGAAGGCGGACUCA